AACGAACGCUGGCGGCAUGCCUAACACAUGCAAGUCGAACGAGACCUUCGGGUCUAGUGGCGCACGGGUGCGUAACGCGUUGGAACCUGCCCUUAGGUUCGGAAUAACUCCCCGAAAGGGGUGCUAAUACCGGAUAAUGUCUUCGGACUAAAGAUUUAUCGCCUUUGGAUGGUCCCGCGUUGGAUUAGCUAGUUGGUAGGGUAAAAGCCUACCAAGGCGACGAUCCAUAGCUGGUCUGAGAGGAUGAUCAGCCACACUGAGACUGAGACACGGCCCAGACUCCUACGGGAGGCAGCAGUGGGGAAUAUUGGACAAUGGGCGAAAGCCUGAUCCAGCAAUGCCGCGUGAGUGAUGAAGGCCUUAGGGUUGUAAAGCUCUUUUACCCGGGAUGAUAAUGACAGUACCGGGUGAAUAAGCGCCGGCUAACUCCGUG
rnacentral:rRNA from 1 species